rnacentral:rRNA from 1 species
GAUGAACGCUAGCGGCAGGCUUAACACAUGCAAGUCGAGGGGUAGAGGAAGCUUGCUUCCUUGAGACCGGCGCACGGGUGCGUAACGCGUAUGCAACCUACCUUUUACAGAGGGAUAGCCCAGAGAAAUUUGGAUUAAUACCUCAUAGUAUAUAGUCUUCGCAUGUUGACUAUAUUAAAGUUCCAACGGUAAAGGAUGGGCAUGCGUCCUAUUAGCUAGAUGGUAAGGUAACGGCUUACCAUGGCAACGAUAGGUAGGGGUCCUGAGAGGGGGAUCCCCCACACUGGUACUGAGACACGGACCAGACUCCUACGGGAGGCAGCAGUGAGGAAUAUUGGACAAUGGGCGCAGGCCUGAUCCAGCCAUGCCGCGUGCAGGAAGAAGCAUCUAUGGUGUGUAAACUGCUUUUGUACAGGAAGAAACACCCCGACGUGUCGGGACUUGACGGUACUGUAAGAAUAAGGAUCGGCUAACUCCGUGCCAGCCGCCGCAGUAACAC